rnacentral:rRNA from 1 species
UACGAGAGGGGCGAGCAUUAUUCGGAAUGAUUUGGCGUAAAGGGUUCGUAGGUUGUUUUUCAAGUUGAAAAAAAAAAUUAAAGCUUAACUUUAUUGAUUUUUUCAAAACUAAAAAACUAGAGUAUAGUAUAGAGGAUAAUAGAAUUUUUAUUGGAGGGAUGAAAUCUGUUGAUAAUAAAAAGAAUUUCAAAAGCGAAGGCAAUUAUCUGGGUUUAUACUGACACUGAGGAACGAAAGUUUGGGUAGCGAACGGG